rnacentral:SRP_RNA from 1 species
GCCGGGCACGGUGGCGCGUGCCUGUAGUCCCAGUUACUCGGGAGGUUGAGGUGGGAGGAUCGCUUGAGCCCAGGAGUUCUGGGCUGUAGUGCGGUAUGCCGAUUGGGUGUCUGCACUAAGUUCGGCAUCAAUAUGGUAAACUCCCAGGAGCGGGGGACCACCAGGUUGCCUAAGGAGGGGUGAACUGCCCCAGGUCGGAAACGGAGGAGGUCAAAACUCCCGUGCUGAUCGGCAGUGGGAUUGCGCCUGUGAAUAGCCACUGUACUCCUGCCUGGGCAACAUAGGGAGACCCCGUCUCU